UCUCGGCCGCGGCCACUCGCAGCCCCGAAGGCCGGCCACUCCCAGCCAAGAAAGAAAGACGACGGCGACACGCAUAGGUACGCCGUACGCGGAACCAGUCGCAUGGGCCUCCUCGACCAGCUCUGGGACGACACGGUCGCCGGCCCGCGCCCGGACCACGGCUUCAGCAAGCUCCGGAAAUACUCCUCCUCGCCCUCGAGCACGGCGGCCGCGGACGUCGCGCCGGUAGUUACCCGGAGCAUCACCAUCGCCCGGCCGCCGUCUCUCUCCGUCCCGUUUGGCGAGUCGAGCUCCCUCCCGUCCUCCCCGGCCUGUGCGCCGGACUCCCCGUUCACAGCAGCUAGCAGUAGCACGCCCAGGGUGGACGGCUGGAGGGCGUUCCGCCGGAAGUCCAAGAUGGCCAACGUUGACGUCGUCCGGGCGGAGGCAACCGUCGGGCCCAGAAGCCCCACCGUGUACGACUGGGUGGUGAUCAGUUCAUUGGACCGAUGAAGCAGCACAUCCACCGAGGUACGAAAUAAUCGAUCGAUGAAGCAGAGGAGCUAGCUGGUGUGUUCGAGGCCGUGUGUUCGUUAUGUCAUAUGCAUACUUGCUCUUGUGUAAUCGUUGUGUUAACUAGGUGCACCCUUUUGGGCUGCGAAAAGUAUGUGAUGUAGUUAGCAGUAGUACUACGCUCCGGUUGAGGCGAUCGAGUUGUGUUGCCUUCAGGGGGAGCCAUUUGGUAUGAGUGCGCGGAGGAGAUGAGCGCUGAAAUUAGGAUGCAAUGGAAGUGUUUGAUCAUGCUUCGUUUUCUUGUCCAUUAACUAUAAUUGAGUACCAUAUGUGUGUGGAGUUAAAUGCAACAAAUCACCCUAAAUUUGCCACCCUAAAUUAUACCUACCAAUGAAACGGAUCCCCUUAGCCGUUAAGGGCCAGGUCUUUUGGGGCUUAUGGGUGACUGUCAAAAUAAGUUCCCCUCUACCCAGUUUAUGGGUGACCAGACAAAAGUGCUUGAGAAAACCAAAACGCAAUAUGGUUGUUUUCUCAUAGUAAAAAAUAUGCAAUAUUUUAAUUUACAAGAACAGUUUGUAAAGUGAAUACUAAAAAAGUUAUGAAUCUUUUUAAGAAAAGUGAACAUUUUUUUGAAUAAUUUAAAGAUUCCUGACCAUGUUCUCCACUCUCAUGAAUAUUUUAAAAGACCAUGAACACUUUUAAAAUUUUGUGAACAUUUUCCAACAGAAUAAAAAAGAGAAAAAAAGAAACCUAGAAAAAUAAAAAAACUAAUAAAAAAAUUAAAUAGAUAUAGAAACCUACUGGGGAAAUAAAACCGGGAAGAACAAUUCUAGUUAACCCAGUGGGGAGAGACCGCGAGAGGAUGAAAGAAAACUGGAGGUCGAUCCAUUACAGGCCAAAGGAUGUGUGAUUUCCCGACAUUUAGUUGAUGCUUCCCUAGUUCUCGAUCUACUUGAGGCAAAAAUUUCAGAUCAGGACCAUGUACGGUUUAUGCGCUGCAUUGGUGAUAAGGAGAUUUCGGAUGCGUUAUUUCAGAUCGGUCCUUUAAAGGCACCUGGUCCCGAUGGUCUGUCAGCGCGGUUUUUUCAGCGUAAUUGGGUAACUUUGAAGGACAGUGUCAUAAAUGCAGUCAAAGAAUUUUUCAGAACAUGACUCAUGCCGACAGGGAUAAAUAUUUUACUGUAAAUUCUACCUCUGUCGUUCUUUAUCCAAAAAUUGCUAACCCUACUAGUUUGUCUCACUACAGGCCAGUCAGUCUCUGAAUUGUAUGCAUACAUGGAGGGUUUGUUGUUUGCUAUCCAGAGGAGUGUCCUACCUAUCAUGAAUUCAUGAUCGAGAUGGAUUCCAUUGUUGCCGUGAAGCUGAUACAGGCUCAGGAGGUGGACAGAUCUGUUUACGCGUCGCUCAUUAAGGAGAUCCGUUACUUUAUGUCUCUUUAUGAUUCUUGUAUUACUCAUAUCAAUCAUAGUAAUAAUAAGGUUAGUGAUAGUCUAGCUAAGUUUGCUCGUCUAGAAGGUAGAACCAUGACUUGGAUAGGUUCGGGGCCUUCAGAGGCAUUGGAGUUUGCAGUGAUUGAUUGUAUGGACCUUGUGAUUGAGUAAUACAUUAUUUCACCCACAAAAAAAGUUGAUACUUCCU
rnacentral:rRNA from 1 species